UUAAAAGUUAUUAUCAUUGUUGUCACAAAAUGAAAUAGGCUUAGAAUGAUACAUCAUCAUCGUCGGUAACAACAAAAUACGGCCCAGUGCCGCUACGGCUGCAACCAGAGUUACCACGCCAAGUAGCAAGCUUACAUCAUCGCGGAAAACACUUCAAAUCCACAAUAAAUCGACAUACACAGUCUAUGCUUUUCACCACCAUGAUCGUGCCUCGGCGCUUCUGAUCAUCAACACAUUAUAAACAUCCAACACAACAUUAUAAAUUAGGUAUCAAGGUGUCAUGAGUCUAAACAUCCAGCACAACAAACAUGGCCAACACAACAUAUAACACUCAUCUUACCCAUAUUAUACAAUCUCUCAUCUUCAUAAUUUUCUGA
rnacentral:lncRNA from 1 species